CCUAAUCAUCUUCUCCAUCGCGUUAUUUUCUUUCUCUCCGUCGAGACCUAUCGCCCCUUUCCGUCGAACUCGGUCUCUCUCCGUAUCAAUCUCCCUCGAGAUCCACGGAUCCGUCGUCCUUCUCCGUCAAGAUUCAUCAUCAAAACUUCUGGAAUCAGAGCAUAUCACAAUUCAUUUCCAGUUUUGGAGAAUUUCGAUUUUCUCGCUGGAGUUCUUCUGUUUGCCGAUGAUCUAAGUGCUUCUUCCCCACUCGUUUCGGAGAUCUGAGAACCUAAUUACAUUUUCUAUCAAAAUUCUCAGAAACUAGGUCUCACAAGCAUAUCCCUGCCAUGAAGCGGAUAAGAGAUGGCUCCGGCUCUCAAUUUCGACGCACUUUGGCUUCUUCUCGAGGCGAAUUAUAUGGACAAUCUCCGGUCCCUGGCAGUGGUGACACCGAAGAAGGAAGAGGAGAAGGAGCGAGAAUCACUAGUAGUGGGGACGUUGCCUCUCAGAAAUUAAAAACCAAUGAUGCCUUGUCGUACCUCAAGGAUGUUAAGGACAUGUUUUAUGAUCAACGGGAGACAUAUGACAGGUUUCUUGAGGUUACGAAAGAUUUUAAAUCUUGAGAAGCAUAUCUUCGAUGUAUAUCACACUCUCCUGGAGAGCAAGAACCAGUUCUUGUAUUCAGGCUUCACCUUCAUCCAAAACCAGAUUUGAUAGCUGGAACCCAUGCCUUGGAGAUAGCAAAUAAGCAAACGUUCAACGUGAUGUUGGUGAUGUUGUAAUCGAGUCUCUGAAACUUCACAUGGAUGUGAAUGAUAGUUGUUUCAACAUUUUUAUAGCUAUUUUAUAAAUAUUUAUAAAAUAAGUUAUAACCUCUUAGAAA